AAAAAAGUUAAAUGUGUACAUUAAUUUAUAAUUUAACAAACUAUAAAUACCCAACUGGUAAAGCAGUAUGAAAGGGCUGGAAAACUUUCACUUUAGGUCUCACCUUAAAUCAUAAGUUAAACUAAGUCUGGAAAAAUCUAGAAGAUAACGUUUUCCAUGUCUUUUCUUGAAAGGAGUUUUAUUUCCUGUCAGAUAUUGCCACAAUCUUGUAAUCUCAGCUCUCAGGUUGUCAGUACCUCUACCACUGAGCCACUUCUCCAGCCCAUAGCUAGAUUUUUUUCAUGUUUGUUUUAACAAUAUCUUUUGGAAAAUGGUGUAUUUAUUUUAUAGCAUAUGUAUAAAUGUUUUACCUGCAUGUAUGAAAAUGCACCAUGUUCUACAGUGCUUGGAGGUCAGAAGAUGAUGUCAGAUCCCUUGGAACUGAAAUUACUGAUGGUUAUGAGCCACCACAUGGGUGCUGGGAAUCGAACCUGGAUCCUCCACAAGAGCAAUAAGUGCUCUAAAACUCUGAACCACCUCUUCAGCCUCUAAAAUAAUUUUUUAAAGAUUUUAUUUAUUUAUUAUUAUACAGUGUUCUGCCUACAUGCUAGAAGAGGGCACCAGAUCUCAUUAUAGAUGGUAGUGAGCCACCAUGUGGUUGCUGGGACUUGAACUCAGGACCUCAGGAAGAGCAGCCAGUGCUCUUAACCUCUGAGCCAUCUCUCCAGCCCUAAAAUAAUUUAAAAACUACAUUUUAUUUAUUUUGUGUCCAUGUUUAUGUGUGUGGGUGCAAGAUGAACUCCACAGCAUGCAUGUAGAGUUCAGAGGACAACUUGAGAGAAAUUAAAUUUCUCUUUCUACCCUGCGGGUUCAAUCUUGUCAGGCUUGGCAACAGGUGACUUUAUCGGCUCAGCCGAGUUGGUGGCCCAAACACACUCAGUUCUUGAGGAACCAACCUUCAAGGCCCUGGCUAAGAGAUCAGUUUCUACGAAGGUCAGUAGUGGCUUAAAGCUGUUUUUUGGUUUUUUGUCUUGUUUUUAAGAUUUAUUUAUUUAAUAUGUAUACAGUGUUCUGCCUGCAUGUACACCUGCAGGCCAGAAGAGGGCACCAGGUUGUGAGCUGCCAUGUGGUAGCUGAGAAUUGAACUCGGGACCUCUGGAAGAUCAGCCAGUGCUCUUAACCUCUGAGCCACCUCUCCAGCCCAGAGCUUUGUUGUUGCUGAUGAUGUUUUGUUGUUGUUGUUGUUGUUUUUUCUUUUUUCUUUCAAACCACUGCUUUCUUAAUUUGAGGCGGUUCUAAUGGCCUCUGCUCGGCUUUUCCUGCCCUACCCUCCAUCGCUGUAUAGGAACGGGAACCAAUGUGAGGAUCCUGGUAGGUACUGAUUGCGUCUAUUUCAACUUUGCGUUCUAGAACUGGCAAGUAACAAGACAGGUUAAGGGCCCAACCAGGCCAGCUAUGGGGCAGAUGUCCGCUAAGACUCCACCGAUGACCUGGCCUCUGGUUGCUCUUCCCUUCACUGGUGGCCACAGUAAUACAUUGGCAUGCUGGAACAGAGUCAGCUGAUAGCCAGGGCCAGUCAAUCCAAAAGUGUUUGUUUUAUUCAGUCAAUCCAGAAAUGUCUAUGUAUUUUAUCUUCGUAAUUAUUCCCUGGUGAGAGACCACAGGUCUCUUUGAGGAAGACCGGAGAAAAAGUUGCACUAUAAAAUUUCAGUUCAUUUAUUUAUUUUAUUCUAUGUGUAUCGUUGUUUUGCCUGCAUGUAUGUAUGUGGACCCCCUGUAGGCCUGGUGCCUUUGGAGGUCUGAAGAAGUGUCAGAUGCCUUGGAACUGGAGUGACAGCUGUUUGUGACCUGCCUUAGCGGUGUCAGGAAUCGAACCCAGGUCCCCUGGAAGAGCAACAAGUGUUCUUAACCUCUGAGCCAUCUCUCCAGCCCCCAAAUUAUCGGUUGAAAUGGGUCCUUCCUUAAGGGGCCCAGCUCUCCACUUUGCUCAAGGAGGCUCUGGGUCUAUUGAAGUCCAGGAUUCAUUGCGGGGCUAUACUUCAUGUUCUUAUGAUUCAAGUGAGACUUGUGGUUAUUUCACCUAGAACAUUUCUGCUUAUACAGAUCAAAAGAGACUCUAACAAUUAGUCAUCCAUGUAGGGAGAUGUGAAAUCCAGAGUGAACAUGUACUGUUAACAUGGGCACAGCCAUAACAAGGAAUCCCGUGCCUCAGCCCCAAGAGAGUGUCACAGCCUUCCUCUGGUUGGAGUACAAAUGUUGGUAGUGUGUGUAGAAAAUGUCCACUGUAGCUUUCUCCCCCAGAUUGUUCCCAGCCUGAAGACGGCUCCCUACUGAGUCUGUUCCUGCCAGGAUGCGCUAUACCUGCCUCCUCGUUCCCCUCUGUAUGCAAUAAGCAUGCUGAGCAUCUGCAGCACUGCAACUUCUUCCUCAGACAGCCCAGUCCAUCCUAUCCCAGCUGUUAUGUGUGUCCCUGGGUCUACCUUUUCUUUCGUCCCUUGUAGUCCCAGUCAGGUCAAUCUCUAGAGCUGUGCAGGACAUGUAUGCAGGACAUGUUAGUGCCACCUGAUUUACUUCUAGAAACACCAUGAUCUACCAGCCAACACCAAAGGUCUGUGUGAGUUCUAAUAGCCUGAUCAAUGUCUUGGCUGUUUUCUGCUAUGGAAGCCAUAACCACUCCACCUUUGGUGUUCAAGUGUCCAAACUGCCACCUGGGUAGGAAGGAGGAAUUCAGCUGCAUUUAAGAUUCCCAAUUCUGUGAUGACAGCCCCAUUUAGAAGCUCUGGUUUGUAGAGAAGAGCAAAUACAGAGCCCUUCAAGAAUGCUAGGCUGCCUCCACAACUGUAUUCCGGUACUGGCAUACUCUUUUGUGUUGUUACAGUAUGGGUUUCAUUUGAAACCUAUGAAACAUGCCUAUGCCAAACACUCCAAUCUCGCUAAGCCUUUCAGUGUUUUCCUUUAAGGUAAACUGAGACAGGGCAUAUUUUUGUAACUUGCUCCAUCUGGGCCUCAUUUUGGUCCAUGUUUGAACCACCCAAGUAAAUGGCAUUUUCUAAUUCCUCGAACUAUAACACUGAAGAUAGGAUGAGUUUGGAGGGUAUAUGCUGGUGGCAGAGAACUUUUCUAGCAAGUGUAAAGUCCUGGAUCUAAUCCCUAAUACAUUCAUGUAUACUCUCGUGCACAUGUACAAAGAAAGAAAAGGAAGAAGAAGGGGGUGGUGGUGGUUUGAAAGAAAAUGGCCCCCAAAGGGAGUGGCACUAUUAGGAGGCGUGCCUUGUUAGAGUAGGUGUGGCCUUGUUGGGGAAGUGUGUCACUGUAGAGGCAGGCUUUGAGGUCUCAUAUAUGCUCAAGCCAUGCCCAGUGUCUCAGACCACUUCCUGUUGCCUGCAAGUCAAGAUGCAGAACUCUUGGCUCCUUCUCCAGCACCAUGUCUGCCUGCAUGCUGCAGUGUCCCACCAUGAUGAUAAUGGACUAGAUCUCUGAACUGUAAGCCACCCAAUUAAACAUUUUUCCUUAUAAGAGUUGCUGUGGUCAUGGUGUCUCUUCACAGCAAUGGAAUCCCUAACUGAGACAGGGAGAAAGAGAAAGGCGGCAGAGUCUCUGUGUGGUGAGUCCAUAUCAACACAUUCAGCUCCGUGUCCCUUAUGGCCUUGUCUCACACUCUCAGUAUUCGUCGUCACACACACACCUCCGUUUCUGUCUAUGGACAGCUUAUUAGUAAGCUCAAGUGUUUUGUUUUGUUUUGUUUGAAAUGCGGCACACCUCUUCAUGGUUUGUAAGUUGUACUUCACCUUUAGUGGCCUGUUGGGACUUCAAUCUAGUUAUAGGCCUAGAAGCCAAGAGGAAGGUGGGAGUGGUUCCUGAGGAGAGUGAGCAAGGUUCUGUACAGAAUCUGCCUCAAGGGAGGCCAGUGUCUCUCCAGCAAUUCUCAGUUACUCACCUGAACUGAGGAUGAGGAGGUUGGUAGAGAGGCCAGUAGGGCUGGAGGACUCUUUCUACUUUGGGUGGAAAGGCCUCUCUGGUGAUGAAGACUCAUCAGUGUUUCAGGCUCAACGCUCCUGCUCCAGAUCCUUCCACACAAACACAUUACAGCAUCCUGUUCUUUCCCCAAUCUGUCACCUCACUUUAACAGCAGAUACACUGGGAGGCUGGGAAUUCAGUUUGCCUCAGAAUUCGGCCAGUCACAGGACAAGGUCCAGCAUUUGAUUUGCAGUAGUCUCAGGUCAGGCCUACACCAACAGAAGGUAAGUCUCCUUCAGGGUAUGUCUGUGGUUGUCAACAUGUGCAUCCCAACCCCUUUUGUGGGAGUUAAAUGACCCUUUCACAAGGAUUGCAUAUCAGAUAUUUCCAUUAUGAUUCAUAACAGUAGCAAAAUUACAGUAAGUAUCAACAAAGAUAAUUUUAUGCUGGCAGCAGGCAGUUACCACAACUUGAGGAACUCUAUUAAAGGAUUGCAACAUUAGGAAGGUUGAGAACCCCUGCUAAGUCAUUUAUCCUGGGAACUUUUAAUUUGAGUUCUUGAGGGUAUCUGUUGUGUAACAGUUUUCUACAAGAUUGAAACAUUCUAUCCUGCAGGAACACUCUUUAAGCAGAGAGGUAAAUCAUUUAAAAUAGCUUCAGGAAGUCCCUGAAACUGAUCAGAUUCAUAGACCCCUCCCUGCCACAGUAGGCAAUUGAAGCUGAGAGUCCUUCUCAGACACAAAGAACGUAAGUGGCAAAAAAGACUGAGACAAGCCAAGCCGCAAAGAUGACUUUGAGACCCCACCAGCUGCCUAGAAGAAGCAGGAACCUGAUGAACUUUCUGGAGGAGGUUUAGACCAACUGAGGCUCCUGGAAAGGACACUGUCCAACCUGUUGAGCUACUUGCAGGCUGUGUAGUAUGUUCUAGGUUUCCCAGAUUUUGUGAGCUGUCCCCCAUGCUGGGGUGGGCUUUGGUGAUGCAGCUGUCUUUGAGUCGUUUCUACUCCUGUAAGGAACCCCUCAGCCAUAUUCACGUAAGUAACCCCAAUAAAACUCAUUGGUUCACUAAGUUGAACUUUGGCAAGAUCCGUAUUUCAGUCUGUCAUGGAUUCCCUAACUGGGGUGAGUAGAUGUGUGUGUUGUGUCUCCCCCGGAAAAGUUUUGUCACACAGCAUAAUUGGCACCUGACCAGGGACACAACAGAACCAAAGAUGAGUUGGGGAGGAGUGAGUGCACAUUCCUAGCUAUGGGUAGCAAGACAUGCAAUGGAGGCUGAGAAGCCCGAGGUGGGUGGGGAGCAUCCACGGGAGAAAUUCCUACAGAAUUACCCUUUCCUGUAUGGUGUGUGUUAGUAUGCCUUUGUCCUAGGACAGCGGUUGCAUGGUUCAUGCUAUGGGUAGUGAGACAUGCAACUAAGGCUGAGCCGUCAGGGUUAGCAGUGUCUGUAGGAGGAAUCCCAGGGUGGCAGUUGUCUGUGUGGUGUGGGUUGGCAUGCCUGCUUGAUGAGUGGGGUCCCCCAAGUGAAUAUGGAGAUGCCCUGAAAACAGUUGAAGGUUUAGAGGAAAUCUUGCAGUCUUUGAGAUCAGCACACACAAGGAUCAAGACUGUCAGCAAGCAAGGUUGCCUGACCUCCAUUGUGUGUGGUUAGAAAUACAUCUGAGGCCAAGAUGGCGGCCAAGCAGAAACUUGCUAAUGUAAAGGAACAAUUGCAACCAGAAAGGGAGAUGAGACUAGCAUCCUCCCAGCUAGCCUCUGACUUGGCAGGUAUAUUAGAUAAACGAGAGAAUGAGAAAGAGAUGUUGAAAGCAAUAGAAGAGAGCCUUGAAGUCUGACCUUUAGUAGAAAAAGAAGAAAAUACAACCUGCAGAUGGGGACAUUUCCCUCCAGAAAAUGCUUGUGCUGAGGAGAUUGUUUGCUCACUCAGGAACUACUGUAGCAGCCAGGUGUGGUGAAUGAGAAGGCUAUGGCCACCGUGCCAGCUCAGGGCCACUCUGACCCAUGGAGCCAGCAACUGCAGCAGGGGAAGCAGGGCCGCAUUCACCUUUGUCCCUGAGCAGAUCUGAGCAGAGUAAGCCAGGCCCACUGAGUUUCUGAGGUGUGGAGAAGUAUAGGGAGACCCUGUGAAAGAGCUCUAGGAUAUGCAAAUAUAAUGGCUUAGAAAGAAUGAUCAAAGAUUACAGGCGCUAAUAUCCCUGCUCUGAACCAACCACGAUCUAUCUGUGGAGGAAGCAAUCAGUACACAUGGAUGGAGCCUUUCCCCGCUGUAUUAGACUGUGCUUGUGUUCUACUUUACUGUCUUCUUAUUGUGAACUUCUGGGGUCACCUGACCCUUCUGAGAACAGGUGACAACAGACUUUCAGAGUGCUUCACCAUGGUUAUCUUUGUAACCUGCUGUCUGUUAUGAGAUGAUGGUUCUGGAUGUUGCCCUGUCCUGCUGCUCAUCCUCCGGAAAAGGUUUUGUUGGAUAGAUGAACCUCUGAGUGUUUUGCAGAUUUGGAAAACCACUGGAGAGACAACCAGAUCGCUGUUGUUGUCAGCCUCAAUUCAUAACCACUGGUGAAGCUCCUGAGAACAAGUGACAGUAUUGUGACACGUUGGUCUACUUAUUAGCCAUAGGUGGACAUCUAUAGUCACCACCUUCAAGGCUCGGCGAUCAUUGUGGAAGAGGGGGCAGAAAGAAUGAAAGAGCCGAGCUGGCGGCGACGGCGCAUGCCUUUAAUCCCAGCAGUCGGGAGGCAGAGCCAGGUGGAUCUCUGUGAGUUCGAGGCCAGCCUGGUCUACAGAGUGAGAUCCAGGACAGGCACCAAAACUACACAGAGAAACCCUGUCUUGAAAGAAAAAAAAAUGAAAGAGCCAGAGAAAGGGGUGGAGUGUGGUGUAACAGUUUUCUUUGAGAUUGAAACAUUCUAUCCUGCAGGGAAGCUCUUUAAAUAGGAAGGUAAACUACUCAAAAUAGCUUCAGGAAGUCCCUGCAACCGACCAGAUUCACCAGGCCCCUCCCUGCCACAGUAAGCAAUAAAAACUGAGAGUUCCGCUCAGAUGGACAGAGUCAAGCUGCAAAAAAGACUCAGACAAGCCCAGUGGCAAAGAUGACUCCGAGACCAGACCAGCUCCUUGGAAGAGCUAGAGAUUAGCUGAGCUGCCUGGAAGUUUAGACCAGAGUCACUUAGAAAGGACACUGUCCAACUGUUGAGCUGCCUGCAGGCUGUGCGGUGUGCUCCGGGUUCCCAGCUUUGUGAGCUGUCACUCAUGCUGGGGUGGGCCUUGGAGAUGCAGCUGUCUUUGAGUCAUUUCUACUCCCAUAAGUAAUCCCAAUAAAACUCAUUGGUUCACCAGGUUGAACUCGGGUGGUAACCGUACUUUUGUCUAUGGUGCGAUCCCUAUCUGGGGUGAGAAGAUGUGUGUGUUGCGUCUCCCCAGGAAGGUUCGUUAUAUGACAGCAUCCUUAUCUUGUACUGCAUUGUCCAGCCAUAUUAGCAGUAACCAGCUAAGUUAAUUACAUUCAUUAGGUCUCAGAACUGUUUUUCUUGUGUACGUGCAUAUGUGUGUGCACAGUGAUAUGUAUGUGUGAGAAGAGAGGCUAGAGGAUGAUGUGGGGUUUCCCGUUCUGUUUGCCUCAUUCCUUGAAACAGGGUGUUUCACUGAACCUGGAACUGUGUUGGGCAGCAAGCUAUUAUGAUCAAUCCACGUGAGCCUAUUAAAUGGGUAACAGAAUUUAUUAAGAUAUCAAUUGAGGAAAUACACUCAUGAAUACAGAAUGGAGUAGACAGCAGAAGUCAUCCUCUGAUCUGACUGGGAAAGAAUCCACCACGCAGGCAGGAGCAGGGAGAAGGGGCAUGUGACCUUUCUCCAACUCUUUAUAAGAGGUCACGUACACUGGCAGGAAGUGCCGCCUUCAUUGGACCAUAUAGCCCGAGGUCAUGGGCAGAGCAAAUACCACUACAGUAAGCCUCAGGAAUUCUCCUGCCUUGGUAUUUCCUUCACCCUCCCAGGUCAGGGUUUACAGGUGUGUGUAGCGGCCUCCAGCUUUUUAAGAUGAGUUCUGGGCAUUUGAACUCCAGUCAUCAUGCCUGAACAGCAAGUACUCUUAUCUGAUAGCUGAGUCAUCUCUCCAGCUCCGUUCUGAAGUUUUGGAAGUACCAUAUACAUCCAACUUUGUAUUUCCUUUUCUCUCUUUUCCCCUCCCUCCCCACAUCUCUUUGAGAGGGUCUCUUACUGCCCAGGCUGCUUUUGAACUUACUAUGCAGCUGAGGGAUGGUCUUGAACAUCUGGUUCUCCUGUGUGCUAGAGCUACAAGCAUGUGCCACCAUGCUUGCUUUAUGUGGUGCUAAGCAGUGACCCCAGGGCCCCAUGCAUGCUGGGCAAGCACUCUGUCACUGAGCUCUAGCUGCAGCCCUUCAUGUUGUAUACAUCUUUACAGCUGGAUCACUCUACAGGCCCUCAGAACUCUCCUUACUACUAGACCAGUGGUUUCAACCUGUAGGUCCUGACUCCUUUUAGGGGUCAAAUGACCCUUUCACAGGGGUUGCCUAAGACCAUUGGAAAACACAGAUAUUUACAUUACAAUUAACAACAGUAGGAAAAGUUGCCUGGCUAGCUCAGUUGGUAGAGCAUGGGACUAUUAAUCCCAGGAUCGUGGAAAGCCCUACAUUAGGUGGUUUAGUUUUCAGUUUAGACAGGAGGUAGUGCCUUUAAUCCCAGCACUCGGGAGGCAGAGGUAGGCAGAUCUCUGUGAAUUUGAGGCCAGCCUGGUCUACAGAGUGAGUUCCAGGACAGCCAGGAUGACACAAAGAAACCCUGUCUCGAAAAGCCAAAAACAAAACCAACUAACCAACCAAACAACCAAACAACAACAACAACAACAACAACAAAACAAAUUAGCAAAAUUACAGUCAUGAAAUAACAAUGAAAAUAAUUUUAUGGUUGGGGAUCACUACAACGUGAGGAACUGUAUAAAGAUUCGCAGCAUUAGGAAGGUUGAGAGCCACUGUACUAGACAUAGAGUUGUUUAUAUCUAAUCAGAUUACAAUACUAAUUCGAAAAAUUCUGGAUCCAAUUUAGAACUCAUCUGUAACGUUGCAUUAGUGUUACAAAUUAGUUGAGAUAAUCAGCUUUCGAGGAGGAAAGAUUGACUUUGGCCCAUAGUUUCAGAGGGGUCAAUUCAUUGCUAGUUAGCCAAAUGCUUGUGAGCCUGUCAUGAGGCAGUACAUCAUGCUGGGGACAUACAACAAAAUCCCUUGACUCAUUGGUGACCAGAAAACAGAAGUAAGACAGAGACAAACGGGCCAGAGCCCAUUAUGGGUUGAAUGUGGGAUAUCUGUCACAGGCUUAUUAUUGGUUUCAACAUUUAUGUGGUCCCCAGCUGGUGAUGCUGUUUUGGCAGGUUAUGGAACCUUUAGGUUUAUGUCUUCUGGUUCUGGCUUGCUUGUUCUCUGCUUCUUGGCUCAUCUGUGACGUGAUCACCUGCCUCAAGUUCCCACUGACCAAGAUGAGCAGACCCUGCCACCAUGCUUUUCUCGACAUGAUAUGCUGAACCUUCUGAAAUCAGGAACUAAAUAAGUCCUUCCUUCCUCAACCCACUUCUGUCAAAACAAAUACAUUUCCAAUAUCCCCUUCGAGGGCAUGUCCCCAGUAAUCCAACUUCUUCUAAGAAGUCUGUACCUUUUAAGGGUUCCAUCACUAAUGCUAGAGAUCACUGUGCAUAUUCUGUUCCUCUGGGGCCAUUUUUAGGACCAGAGUCUGUGUUGUGGUUCUCCAGAAAAACAGAAUAGGACACACACACACACACACACACACACAUUGUUGCAUUAUAAAGAAAUGAUCCUGUAGAUGUAACCAACCGUCUUAUUAAAUAAGAAACACAUAGCCAAUACAGAGAUGAAAGCCAGGAGGUCAGAGCAAUAGCUAAAAGCUAAAACCUUACCCUUCACUUUCGCUGUUGUCCUACCUCUCCGAAAAAAGAGACCCACUUCCUGUGUGUCUGUCUUUUUAUAGAGUUUCUGUUCUGCCUUCUCAUUGGUUGUAAACCCAACCACUGCCCAUCUGUACAGACCUCCAGGUCUUCUAUGGUUGGUAUUGAGAUUAAAAGCGUGUGUCUCCAUGCUGGCUGUAUCCUUGAACAAACAGAGAUCCCCUUAGCUCUGCCUCCCAAGAGCUGGGAUUAAAGGCGUGCACCACCACUGCCCAGCUUCUGCUAAGGCUUGCUAUUAGCUCUGACCCCCAGGCAACUUUAUUUAUUAACAUACAAAUCACAUUUUAGUACAAAUAAAAUAUUACCAUAUGAUCCAUAUGCUUAGAAAAAUCCUAUGGUUUGCUAUCUCCACCCUGGUGGUCCAGGAGAGCUAGUGAUACAUCCCUGUGAACUGGAGGGCUGAUGGCCUCAGUCCCAGCUGAAAGCAGAAGUCUGGUGUUCCAGCCGGAGCAAUCAGGCAUAGAAAGCAAAUUUCCUUUCCCUCAGUUUUUUUUUUUAAAUCUUUUCUUUCUAUUCAGGUCUUAUGAAUGGAUGGAGACUGGAUGAGGGAGGGCCAUCUGCUUUACUCAGUCACUGAUUCUAAUGCUUAUUCCACUGAGAGAAACACCCUGCCACACUCACAGAAAUAAUAUUUGACAUGUAAAAUUAACCAUCAGAAAUAUGUCCACACACCAAAGGUCCCUGAGCAGCAGCAACUUAAGAUUUGUUUCUUGAAUAGUAGAAAACGUUUUGACUAUCUUCAAUAAGACACAGGCUUUCAUGUUGCUUAUUUGAAGAGUUAUUGGAAAAUAUUUCUGUGCUUGGAAUCCUCUUAUUUAUGAUAGAGAAAAAUGACAUGUGAUGAUGGUAUAUAUUUUGUAUUAAAGGCGGUAUGUGUGUAAAUGCGGGUAAGUCUCAGAUUAUUAAUACCUGAAACAAAUGCUUCACAACUUAAACACAGAAGAUACUAAUUAGUAUAUAGGUGUCACUCACAGUUCUACUAACCAGAGAUGAUUAAUUUAAUCACGUACUGUCAUAGAAUUAAUUAUAAUGACAAUUAUUAAUGACAAAAUUAUCAUGUGGCAGUUUGUAUGUGUGAUUUCCCAUUUUAUUCAAUAAGUCAGUAAAAACAUUUAAAUUUG